rnacentral:lncRNA from 1 species
GAAAAUUAGACUAAUUGAAAUUGAAUGGAAUUAAAAUAAAACAAGUAACCACAAUUGAGAACCAAGGUGACGUCUCCUGCCAAGAGUUUCAAUCUUCAAGCAAAACAAUUCCAAAAGCAAAAUAAAAUCUUCCUCUAAGCGUAAAGUUUAAGCAAAAGAUAAAAACCUCAAUUAACUAAUUGCUAACCUAAAAGUGGCGGCUGCACCCCCCUUUUAUAAUCAAGGAAAUUAAUCCCCUUCUUUUCUAACUAAGCAGCCGCCCAUCACCUUAAAACAUGGGCUGAUCCGCAAAAACAAAAGGCCCAAAAAAAAAUAUACUUAAAACAAGAGUUUUGGACUUAUUAAAUGUAAAAUAAAUAUGUACAAGCCCAAUCUCUAAACUCCUUCAAAAUUCUUCGAACUUCAACCAAAACUCGACUUCUUUCGAUUUCUUCUAUCCACAACAUCAUCUCCCAAUUUCGCUCAAUUCCUGCAUCCAAAAUACCACAAAUCAUGUAAAAUCACAUAAAACCAUAGCAAACACACACUAAACUAGGUAACUAAAAUACACACAUAAAAAAUAAAUAGCAGCCAAAACGGUGAUAAGCAAAUCUGGAAUAAUAAAAUCCUACAAAAAAAAUUCAGAAUCAUUACAAUUUCAACAUGCAAAGCAACUAAUUUACACAUAGCCACCAAAUUGAGUCAGGAUUCAAGAAGAGCACUCACUUGUUGAACCGAAGCACCAUUAACAACUAAGGAUAGGCAAAGACUUUCUAUGUUUACCCCUAAUGCAGUGUAAAAUGGCUCCACAACGCAAGCUGCAAAACAACCAAGAUUAAA